CCUACGGGUGGCAGCAGUCGAGAAUCAUUCACAAUGGGGGAAACCCUGAUGGUGCGACGCCGCGUGGGGAAUGAAGGUCUUCUGAUUGUAAACCCCUGUCAUGUGGGAGCAAAUGAAAAAGAUAGUACCACAAGAGGAAGAAACGGCUAACUCGGUGCCAGCAGCCGCGGUAAGACAGAGGUCUCAAGCGUUGUUCGGAAUCACUGGGCGUAAAGCGUGCGUAGGCUGUUUCCGUAAGUCGUGUGUGAAAGGCGCGGUCUCAACCCGCGGACGGCACAUGAGACUGCGAGACUAGAGGACUGGCGCGGGCACCGGACUUCUCGGUGUAGCAGUGAAAUGCGUAGAUAUCGAGAGGAACACUCGUGGCGCAGGCGGCUUCCUGGACAUUACCUGACGCUGCGGCACGCAUGCCAGGGGAGCGAACGGGAUUAGAUACCCCUGUAGUC
rnacentral:rRNA from 1 species